rnacentral:rRNA from 1 species
CCCGGGCCUUGUACACACCGCCCGUCACACCACGAAAGUCGGCAAUACCCGAAGCCGGUGGGCUAACCCGCAAGAAAGACAGCCGUCGAAAAUAGGGUCGAUGAUUAGGGUG